AAAAAGGAAACGAAAAUUCCGCCAAGUAAACAACAAAGAAAGGGAUUUGGGAUGUUGUCAGUUGUAUGUAUACAUUAUGUGCGACGGUGACUGCAAGAAACAAGGAAUAUGGAGCUAAUGCAUGCUGCUAAGGAUGGAAAGGUCUUGUGUUUAUUGGUUGUGCCUGAGUCACCAGUCACAGGUGUACCUUAUUUCCAUUAUAGGGAGUCUAUAUACAUUUGAGGUGAGCGACAGAUUUAAUUUUGAAGAUGGGUGACUUUCAGAUGUUGUGAUGAAGAUUGUUGAAAGGGAUCAUCAGCAUAGAACCAAUCCAUAUGAAUGUGCAA